GAAAAACUGCAAAGCUAUAGCCAAAGUGAAACUUGUUUUCCUCUGUUUUGUAGUUUGACGUGGGUUGUUCUCUUUCUCUUUCUCUUGCUUUCCCUCUUACUCUAGAAUCAAUUACUUAACAACUAAUGGUAAUACAAAGGACCAUUAGAGAUUCUGCUGCGCUCAUGGCCCACUAUGGAAGUGCUUAUCUAUUGGUUUGAAUGAAAUGACGCGGU
rnacentral:misc_RNA from 1 species